rnacentral:rRNA from 1 species
GACGAACGCUGGCGGCGUGCUUAACACAUGCAAGUCGAACGAAGUGGCGAACGGGUGAGUAACGCGUAAUCAACCUGCCCUUCAGAGGGGGACAACAGUUGGAAACGACUGCUAAUACCGCAAACUGAAGGAGGGGCUUGCGUCGGGUUAGCUGGUUGGAGGGGUACCGGCCCACCAAGGCGAUGAUACGUAGCCGGUAGUGAAGGAUGAACGGCGACAUUGGGACUGAGACACGGCCCAGACUCCUACGGGAGGCAGCAGUGGGGAGUCUUCCGCAAUGGACGAAAGUCUGACGGGGCAACGGCGCGUGAUUGAUGACGGCCUUCGGGUUGUAAAGCGCUGUUAAUCGGGACGCGGUACCGGAAUAGAAAGCCACGGCUAACUACGUGCCAGCAGCCGCGGUAAUUC